GUACACUCCUGCGGGAGGCAGCAGUGGGGAAUUUUGGACAAUGGGCGAAAGCCUGAUCCAGCAAUGCCGCGUGAGUGAAGAAGGCCUUCGGGUUGUAAAGCUCUUUUGUCAGGGAAGAAACGGUGAAAGCUAAUAUCUUUUGCUAAUGACGGUACCUGAAGAAUAAGCACCGGCUAACUACGUGCCAGCAGCCGCGGUAAUACGUAGGGUGCAAGCGUUAAUCGGAAUUACUGGGCGUAAAGCGUGCGCAGGCGGUUUUGUAAGUCUGAUGUGAAAUCCCCGGGCUCAACCUGGGAAUUGCAUUGGAGACUGCAAGGCUAGAAUCUGGCAGAGGGGGGUAGAAUUCCACGUGUAGCAGUGAAAUGCGUAGAUAUGUGGAGGAACACCGAUGGCGAAGGCAGCCCCCUGGGUCAAGAUUGACGCUCAUGCACGAAAGCGUGGGGAGCAAACAGGAUUAGAUACCCCAGUAGUCCCAUG
rnacentral:rRNA from 1 species